rnacentral:tRNA from 1 species
GGUGGCUCAGUGGUGGAGUGCUUGCCUUGCAUGCAUGAGACCCUGGGUUCAAUUCCUCAGCACCA